rnacentral:rRNA from 1 species
CCUACGGGAGGCAGCAGUGGGGAAUAUUGGGCAAUGGAGGCAACUCUGACCCAGCAACGCCGCGUGAAUGAUGAAGGUCUUCGGAUUGUAAAGUUCUUUUCUAAGGGAAGAAGAAAGUGACGGUACCUUCGGAAUAAGCCUCGGCUAACUACGUGCCAGCAGCCGCGGCAAUCCGUAGGAGGCAAUCGUUAUCCGGAAUGACUGGGCGUAAAGGGUGCGUCGGUUGUUUGACAAGUUAGUAGCGCAACUCCGGGGCUCAACUUCGGAACUACUACUAAAACGGUUGGACUUGAGUGCGAGUGAGGCAAUCGGAAUGCGUAGUGUAGCGGUGGAAUGCGUAGAUAUUAGGAGGAACACCAGUGGCGAAGGCGGAUUGCUAGACUGUAACUGACACUGAGGCACGAAAGCGUGGGGAGCAAACAGGAUUAGAUACCCCAGUAGUC